rnacentral:rRNA from 1 species
UACGUGGGACACAAGCGUUAUCCGGUGUGACUGGGCGUAAAGAGUAUGUAGGCGGUUUGGUAAGUUACUUCUUAAAGACCCCGACUCAAUCGGGGGAAGGGGAGUAAGUACUGCCUGACUAGAGUUUUCUUUUAGGGAAAUCGGAAUUCACAGAGGAGUAGUGAAAUGCGUUGAUACUGUGAAGAACACCAGUGGCGAAGGCGGAUUUCUGGAAGAUAACGUGACGCUGAGACACGAAAGCUAGGGGAGCGAACCGGAGUUAGCAAACC